rnacentral:tRNA from 1 species
GACCCCAUCGUCUAGAGGCCUAGGACACCAGGUUUUCAUCCUGGUAACACGGGUUCGAAUCCCGUUGGGGUUG